GAUGAACGCUGGCGGCGUGCCUAAUACAUGCAAGUAGAACGCUGAAGGAAGGAGCUUGCUCUUUCCGGAUGAGUUGCGAACGGGUGAGUAACGCGUAGGUAACCUGCCUGGUAGCGGGGGAUAACUAUUGGAAACGAUAGCUAAUACCGCAUAACAGUAGAUGUUGCAUGAUAUCUACUUAAAAGGUGCAAUUGCACCACUACCAGAUGGACCUGCGUUGUAUUAGCUAGUUGGUGAGGUAACGGCUCACCAAGGCGACGAUACAUAGCCGACCUGAGAGGGUGAUCGGCCACACUGGGACUGAGACACGGCCCAGACGCCUACGGGAGGCAGCAGGAGGGAAUCUUCGGCAAGGGACGGAAGUCUGACCGAGCAACGCCGCGUGAGGGAAGAAGGUUGUCGGAUCGUAAAGCUCUGUUGUAAGAGAAGAACGAGUGUGAGAGUGGAAAGUUCACACUGUGACGGUAUCUUACCAGAAAGGGACGGCUAACUACGUG
rnacentral:rRNA from 1 species